AGUGCCACCCUCCGCACUCCGUCAAGGGCAUGGGAAAUGGAGGACCCAGCCAAGGGCCUGCAGCCACGGCUGCUGGUGCCACUGAGUUCCAUGAAUGAGACAACAUCCAACCUAGCAGACAGAAAUGAGCUCUGAGGAACUGCGCAGAAGCAACUCAGAACAAGGAAAUUAUGCUGGACACUAAAAUCAGAUCGCACAUUUUUAAAAAGAGAAUGUUAACACCUGUAUUCAAGGUGUCCUUGAGAGUUAAGUAAGACAUCGUGGUGAUGCCCCCAGCGCACAGUAAGUGUUUCCAAAAGCUUUACCUCCAUUUCUCUCAGUUUUUCUAUUUCCAGGAGAUAGAUGUGUUAGAAAAGUUCAUUGGGUUGGCAACUAAUCACACACAAACAUUGCAGUGAGCAAAGCCUUGUUUCCCCACCGCUUUCAGGCUGCAAAUGAGAAGGA